GUGAACGCUGGCGGCGUGCCUCAUACAUGCAAGUCGCGCGAACAGACGAGGAGCUUGCUCCUCUGACGUUAGCGGCGGACGGGUGAGUAACACGUGGAUAACCUACCUAUAAGACUGGGAUAACUUCGGGAAACCGGAGCUAAUACCGGAUAAUAUAUUGAACCGCAUGGUUCAAUAGUGAAAGACGGUUUUGCUGUCACUUAUAGAUGGAUCCGCGCCGCAUUAGCUAGUUGGUAAGGUAACGGCUUACCAAGGCAACGAUGCGUAGCCGACCUGAGAGGGUGAUCGGCCACACUGGAACUGAGACACGGUCCAGACUCCUACGGGAGGCAGCAGUAGGGAAUCUUCCGCAAUGGGCGAAAGCCUGACGGAGCAACGCCGCGUGAGUGAUGAAGGUCUUCGGAUCGUAAAACUCUGUUAUUAGGGAAGAACAAAUGUGUAAGUAACUAUGCACGUCUUGACGGUACCUAAUCAGAAAGCCACGGCUAACUACGUG
rnacentral:rRNA from 1 species